AACCUCGUACCAGACCCUCUUCCUACGUUAUGGGGCAGAUUAGAAAGAAACAUACGCUCUCGCAUACUCUUUGGAGUCCAGAUCGAAUGGUUGCGGAGCACGUGCUGAAUAAUGGCGGAGUUGCAGGGGCACGUCAAAAAGAAGAAGAAAGCAAAGAAAGACGUAGAAACACAGGAGGCUAUUGGAGAAGAGCAAACAACUGGUGAUUUUGUCAUCAAGCCCGAGUCGACAGUGCCUAGGCUUUCAACGGAGCAUUGGCCGUUGUUGCUAAAGGUAAGGUUGCAACUCGCGUAGCACACUGGAGCCAUGUUCCAAGGGUAUAAACAACGUGGGGCUGAAGCCGUCCACUUUUGAGUCUUUAUUACAUAACAUCAUGGUAACUGUUAAGAAUUUAAUUGUAACUAGUUGUACGGUAUCCGGAGGCGCCUCACGUUUGCGGCA